rnacentral:rRNA from 1 species
UAAUACCCCAUGUGCUCCACGGAGCAAAGGUUUACCGCCUUGGGAGCAGCGAUCGUCCUAUCAGCUAGUUGGCGGGGUAACGGCCCACCAAGGCGAAGACGGGUAGCGGGUGUGAGAGCACGGCCCGCCGCAUCGGGACUGAGACACUGCCCGGACUCCUACGGGAGGCUGCAGUAACGAAUAUUCCGCAAUGGGCGCAAGCCUGACGGAGCAAUGCCGCGUGCAGGAUGAAGCGGCUUCGCCGUGUAAACUGCUGUCAGGGGUCAGAAAUACUGAUCGACCCCAGAGGAAGAGCCGGCUAACCCUGUGCCAGCAGCCGCGGUAAGACAGGGGGCUCGAGCGUUAAUCGGAAUCACUGGGCUUAAAGGGAGCGUAGGCGGCUCGGAAAGUGUCCCGUGAAAUCCCCCGGCUCAACCGGGGAAUUGCGGGGCAAACUUCCGGGCUUGAGGAAGGUAGAGGCCGGUGGAACGAUAGGUGGAGCGGUGGAAUGCGUAGAGAUCUAUCGGAACGCCAAAAGUGAAGACAGCCGGCUGGGCCUUUCCUGACGCUCAGGCUCGAAAGCGUGGGGAGCAAACCGGAUUAGAUACCCGGGUAGUCCACGCCCUAAACGAUGUGCACUAGACUGGAGCGGCUCUGACGUCGUUCUGGUCGUAGAG